rnacentral:rRNA from 1 species
UGGGGAAUAUUGCACAAUGGGCGCAAGCCUGAUGCAGCCAUGCCGCGUGUAUGAAGAAGGCCUUCGGGUUGUAAAGUACUUUCAGCGGGGAGGAAGGGAGUAAAGUUAAUACCUUUGCUCAUUGACGUUACCCGCAGAAGAAGCACCGGCUAACUCCGUGCCAGCAGCCGCGGUAAUACGGAGGGUGCAAGCGUUAAUCGGAAUUACUGGGCGUAAAGCGCACGCAGGCGGUUUGUUAAGUCAGAUGUGAAAUCCUCGGGCUCAACCUGGGAACUGCAUCUGAUACUGGCAAGCUUGAGUCUCGUAGAAGGGGGUAGAAUUCCAGGUGUAGCGGUGAAAUGCGUAGAGAUCUGGAGGAAUACCGGUGGCGAAGGCGGCCCCCUGGACGAAGACUGACGCUCAGGUGCGAAAGCGUGGGGAGCAAACAGG